UACGUAGGGUGCGAGCGUUAAUCGGAAUUACUGGGCGUAAAGCGUGCGCAGGCGGUUCGUUGUGUCGGCGGUGAAAGCCCCGGGCUUAACCUGGGAACGGCCGUUGAAACUGGCGAACUGGAGUGUGGCAGAGGGGGGUGGAAUUCCGCGUGUAGCAGUGAAAUGCGUAGAUAUCAGGAGGAAUACCGAUGGCGAAGGCAGGUCUCUGGGCUGACACUGACGCUCAUGCACGAAAGCGUGGGGAGCAAACAGG
rnacentral:rRNA from 1 species